rnacentral:rRNA from 1 species
UAAAUCUAGGGUAUGAUCCCGGCCCAGAAUGAAUGCUUGCGAUAAGCCUAAUACAUGCAAGUCGAACGCACAGAAAUGUGAGUGGCGAACGGGUGAGUAAUGCGUAAGAAUCUACCUCUUAAAUAGCCGUAAAUAGGAAAAGGCAAAGUCCGUUAAGAGAUGAGCUUGCGUAAGAUUAGGUAGUUGGUGUGGUAAAAGCUCACCAAGCCAAUGAUCUUUAGCUGGUCUGAGAGGAUGAUCAGCCACACUGGGACUGAGACACGGCCCAGACUCAAUGAUAGAGGCAGCAGUAAGGAAUAUUAGACAAUGAGCGGAAGCUUGAUCUAGCUAUAUCGCGUGGGUGAUGCAAACCUUCGGGUAGUAAAUCCCUUUAAUUGGAUAAAAGAUUAUGACAAAAUCCAAUCAAAAAGUCCCGGCUAACUUCGUGCCAGCAGCCGCGGUAAAACGGAGGGGACAAGUGUUAUUCGGAAUGACUGGGCGUAAAGAGUUCGUAGGCGGACAUACGAGUUUGAAGGACCAACCCAUAGAACUCCUUUGGGAAAUCUUUAAUAAGCGUAUGUCUUGAGUCAGAUAGAGGAAAGUGGAAUGUCAUGUGUAGGGAUAAAAUCCGCGAAGAUGUGAUGGAAGGCCGAAAGCGAAGGCAACUUUCUGGGUCUUGACUGACGCUAAAGAACGAAAGCGUGGGUAGCGACAGGGAUUAGAGACCCCUCUAGUCCACGCCGUAAACGAUGAGUGUUCACUUUGGGUGUUUACAUCCGAGGUUUAGCUAACGCGUUAAACACUCCGCCUGGGGAGUACGGUCGCAAGGCUGAAACUCAAGGGAAUUGACGGGAGCUCGCACAAGUGGUGGAUCAUCUUGUUUAAUUCGAUAAUACGCGCAAAACCUUACCAACCCUUGACAUCUUUUUUUUUCAAUACCUUAGGAGGGUAUUAGAUUACAAAAAGACAGGUGCUGCAUGGCUGUCGGCAGUUCGUGUUGUGAAACGUCUGGUUAAAUCCUAUAACGGACGCAACCCCUUCGAAAUUUCUAAAUUGCUUUUUCGGAAUGCCCAUGAGAAGUGGGAGGAAGGUGGGGAUCACGUCAAGUCAUCAUGGCCCUUAUGGGUUGGGCUACAAAGGUGAUACAAUGGUAAUUACAAAGGGAUGCAAUGAUUCAAGUCGGAGCAAAGCCUAAAAAAUUAUCUUAGUUCGGAUUGGUCUCUGCAACUCGGGACCAUGAAGCUGGAAUCACUAGUAAUCGUGGAUCAGCACGCCACGGUGAAUCUGUUCUCGGGCUUUGUACACACCGCCCGUCACACCGGGGAAGCCGGACUGAUCUAAAAACUUUAAAUCUUUUUUUAUCUUUUAUUUUUUACUUACUUUAAUAGUUUUUUUAACUGAUAUUCUUAGACAUUUAAGGCCGAAGGCCAGUUUGGUAACUCUGGUGAAGUCGUAACAAGGUAGCCGUAGGGGAACCUGCGGCUGGACUGGCUCAAUU